rnacentral:rRNA from 1 species
GACGAACGCUGGCGGCGUGCUUAACACAUGCAAGUCGAACGGAAAGGCCCUGCUUUUGUGGGGUGCUCGAGUGGCGAACGGUGAGUAACACGUGAGUAACCUGCCCUUGACUUUGGGAUAACUUCAGGAAACUGGGGCUAAUACCGGAUAGGAGCUCCUUCUGCAUGGUGGGGGUUGGAAAGUUUCGGCGGUUGGGGAUGGACUCGCGGCUUAUCAGCUUGUUGGUGGGGUAGUGGCUUACCAAGGCUUUGACGGGUAGCCGGCCUGAGAGGGUGACCGGCCACAUUGGGACUGAGAUACGGCCCAGACUCCUACGGGAGGCAGCAGUGGGGAAUAUUGCACAAUGGGCGGAAGCCUGAUGCAGCAACGCCGCGUGCGGGAUGACGGCCUUCGGGUUGUAAACCGCUUUCGCCUGUGACGAAGCGUGAGUGACGGUAAUGGGUAAAGAAGCACCGGCUAACUACGUG